rnacentral:lncRNA from 10 species
AUCUCAUUCUCAUGCACCUCAGGCUGCUUCAAAAGCUGAUCAUCUCAUCUUUGGACACAUGGACAUUAUUCCUUUUGUGUAUUUUGAAGUCUGAUGCUGUUUUUUUUUUCUUUUUUAAAAAGUAAUGUGGACCCUUACAGUAACAGUAACAGUCAUUUUUAAUUAUCUUUGUGAAUUUAACUCUGGCAACAAUUUCAUGAAGUUGACAUGUGGUUCUCAUUUUAUAGGUGAGAAAACUGACACUUGGAGAGGUAGAGUAGCUUUAUUUACUUCACACAAGCUUUUGAUGAAUUUCAAGUCUCAACCUAGAAGUCUUCCUCUAAGGUUCGUGCUUUCACGCACCUGUAAUUCAAAUACUGAUGAAAACAAAACUAUUGCCCUCCUACCAAAUGGGAAAUUAAUGUUAUGACUGGAUAAGACAAUUGUGAAGAAACUGCACUUCGAGGUUGUCUGUCUCCGUAUUCCGAUGGAAAAGGCUGGACUUUAGAAGCAUUGCUCGCUCCUUCAGUUUCUAACAAGAGUUUUACAGUUUCUGAUUAAAUACCAAUGGGAUAUCACCUCCCAUCUCUUAGGAUGGCUGUUAUAAAAAGGACAAGAGAUAACAAGUGUUGGUGAUGGUGUGGAGAGAAGGGAACCUUUGUACACUGCUGGUUAAAAUGUAAGUUAGUACAGCCAUUAUGGAAAACAGUAUGAAAGUUCCUGAGAAUCUAAAAAUAGAACUACCAUAUGGCUCAGCAAUCCCUCCUAUGAAUUAUAUAUCAACAGGAAAUGAAAUCAGCAUCUGAUAGAGAUAUCUUCACUCCCCUCUUCUCCGUGCCCCACCACAGCAUUGCUCCCAACAGCCAAGCCAUGGGAUGAAGUUACUGUGCAUUGAUGGAUGAGUGGAGAAAAGAAAAUGUGGGGGAGGUGUUUGUGCAUGUAUGUGUGUGUGUGUAUAAUAUAUAAUAAUAUAAUAUUUUUCAGCUUUUAAGAAGUUGAAGAUACUGCCAUUUGUGAUAACAUAAAUGAAUCUGGAGGAUAUUAAGCUAAGUAAAAUAACUUAGGGAGAGAGAAAAAUACUGCAUAAUUUCUGUUACAUAUGAAAUCUUUAAAAAGGUUUAAUACAUAGAGACAUGAUAGAGUGAUGAUUUGGGGGAUAAGAGACACAAGUCAACGUUUCAGUUAUAUAAAAUAAAUGAAUCUAGAGGACUAAAGUACAAUUUAAAGGUUAUAGUUACUAUUUUUAUAUUAUAUACUAGUGAUUUUUGAACAGGGUAAACUUUAGGUGCUUUGACACCAAAAGGAAACUACAUGAGUUCAUGUAUAUGUUAAAUUGUUUGACCGCAGUCAUCAUUGAUAUGUAUAUGUAUAUAUAUAUAAUUAUGGGCUCAUUAAAUUUAAAUGCUAUAAAUAGGUAACAAAGAAUAAAGUUAAUUGAAAAACUGCAUCAUUAGACUUGAUUUUGCCUACAUGAAAAACUGAAACUGCCUCCUAAAUAUUAAUAUUUGUACAUCGCAUAAAGUUUAUAUGUUGGAAAUAUGUUUAAAGAAAAGGAAUUAUAAAUUUUAAUAAACACAGAAUGACACAGUAAAUGCAAAACAGUAGAAAGAGAUGAAAAUCUGAUUAAUCAGAGUGGUUAAUGCUUAGAUAUAAUUAAUGAUGUGUUAGGAGCAAUUUCAAGCCACUUCCACAUAGAUUUAAUACCAAAGAGUUUAUGUGUACACAGAGAUUAAAUAAAAAAAUACAUUUACAAUGAUAUUAAUUGAUAUUAAAAUGAUUAUGAAAUCAACUGUCUGCUAUAGAAAAAAUAGAGCAUUAAGUAACUAGCAGUAAGUUUGAAACUUUGUUAGAAAGUUAAUCAAGUGAAAAAGUGAUCAGCAUUUUUGAGCACUAAAUAGAGGAUGGACAAAAUUUUCUUUUCUUUCUUUCUUUUUUUUUUUUUUUUGAGAUCGAGUCUGUCUCUGUCGCCCAGGCUGGAGUACAGCGGCGCAAUCUUGAUCUCGGCUCACUGCAAGCUCUGCCUCCCGGGUUCACGCCAUUCUCCUGCAUUAGCCUCCUGAGUACCUGGGACUGCAGGCGCCCACAGCCAUCCCUGGCUAAUUUUUUGUAUUUUUAGUGGAGACGGGGUUUCACCGUGUUAGUCAAGAUGGUCACGAUCUCCUGAGCUCAUGAUCCACCUGCCUCAGCCUCUUAAAGUGCUGGGAUUACAGGCGUGAGCCACCGCACCUGGCCUAUAAUUUUCCAAUACCAAGAAAAUCAUUUGAUAUUGCAAGAUUUUAAACCUAAAUUAGUGUCUUUAACUUCACAAAGGUAGAAAUCCUAUAAGUAAUGUUUCUUGAACACUUUAAAAUGACAAUAAAAACUAAAGUGUAACCAACAAGUAACAUGUAGCCACAUGCAAAUUUCCUUUUAGAUUGUUUUAUUAUUUUUUUAACUUUAUGUGAAUUUUUAUUUUACUAGGUUUUUGGGGAACAGGUGGUGUUUGGUUAGAGGGAUAAGUUUUUAGUGGUGAUCUCUGAGAUGUUGGUGCAGUGUACACUGUACCCAAUGGGUAGCCUUUGAUCCCUAAGAUUGUUUUAAAUGACAUCUAGAUUAAAUAGAACAUUCAAACUGACAUUACUUUUACAGCACCAGAGAAAUGCUAAGGAGGAAGCUUUGUGACUGAAACCAAAAGACCUGAAUUUAUAUAUUUAAUUUUACUAAUUAACAUUCUUAAUUUUAUAGAAAAACAGCAAUUCUGCCCACAUGCAGGAGUUAUGCAUUAAAGUGGAGCAUGAUCACUUCAGACAUUUGUCCAAAACAUAAAAAUUCUUCCAAGUAUUAAGAAAAUAUUUAUACUUCACAGAUAUUGUUAGUGUAUAAUACAUGGGCAUUGAGAUGUUUCAAAUGAGAAAAAUUGAAAUUUCUCAUGGGGCAUUGUUCUACACAAAAUAUUUAUGUAAAAUUUUUUACUCAUAUAUGCAUGUGGACAUUUGAUGUUUUAGCACAGAAUAACAUAUUCUCAAAGGUCAUUUAAUGUAGUAAAUUAAAAAUCUUUAAAGUUUACAAGAAUUUUAAAACUGCCCAGCAGAACUGAUAGAAAAAUAUGGGAGCUUCCCAGGACCAGAAGUGAAUCAAGAGGCAAAUUCACAGGAGUCAUGAAAGUGAGAAGUUAGAGCUGCCUUCAGGUACAGCUCUGAUUGCAGGGCUGAUUACACAGACCUCAAGCCUGUGAAAAUCGUCCACUCUGCCCCUUGGAAUAUACAUACAGAGAAAAUUACUAACUGGGGCAUCCCAAAUGUGAGAUCUCUAUAAUGUAAGAACCAAAUUGCAAUUAUGAAGCACACAAAAGAAGCUACCCAAAAAAGGGAAAGAAAUUAUACAUCACGUAAACUUCACAGAUUGGAAACGUAUUUAAAAUAAGUAACACAAAUAGGGAAAGAGAAUAUCAAAAUAAUUUUGAAAACACAUGAAGUUCUAAAGCGGGCACUGGGGGCAGUGGCUCAUGCCUGUACUCCCAAGCACUUUGCGGUGGCCAAAGCAGGAGGAUCACUUGAGGCCAGGAGUUUGAGAUCAGCCUGGGCAACAAAGCAAAAGUUGUCUCUACAACAAAUAGAUAUAAAAAAAUAAGCCAGGCACAGUGGUGUGUGCUUGUACUGUCAGCUACUGGGGAGGUGGAGGUGAGAGGGUCUUUUGAGACUGGGAAUUUGAGGUUGCAGUGAGCUAUGACCACCACUGAACUCAAGCCUGGGUGACAGAGAUUCUUUCUCAAACACACACACACACACACACACACACACACACACACACACACACACACACUAAACAGGCAUGUUUUGCAAAGACUCAAACAGAAAUUGAACAACUGAAACUUAAAUAAAUUUAAUAUACAGUGUAUGGUUUAAUUAUUAAACCAAGUUAAUAACAACAGGAUUAGUGAACUAGAAUACUGAGAUGAGUAAAUAAAAGAACUACAGAAAAAUGAAAUGAUCACAAUACAAAAAUGAGUAUACAUGUACAAAGAAUAAAAUGAAAUGAAAUCAAAUACAUUGGUUUCACUAGCUUACAUAUAAAUAACAAAUCACAUUAAUAACAAAUAUUUAUAAAUUUCUGAAACUGAAUAUCAGAUGGGAACCCUUGAAUGCAGAAGUGUAUUGUGAUUAAUAGUGGCCUACCAAUAAAAAAUACUCAACAGAAAUAAAAGUCAAACUGCAUAACAGCAAAGAAAAGAAAAAAUUUUAAAGCCAUAAGAGAGAAAAGAAGAGAGAACCAAUGAAGGUGAGAGCAAAGUCUUCACAGCCCGUGUUCAGUCAGAAAACAGAGAAAUAAGUAAGAGUGCUGAGAUAAGUCACUGUUCAACCAAUAAUUAGAUACUUCACUAACAUAUUUUGAAUAAGUGAGGAUGCACUACAUGAUUUCCAAAAGUAAAAAAGUGGGAAAUCUUAUUACCAAUAUGAGCUUAUUAAGAAUACACUUCAAAAAGAAAAAAAAUUUAAAAUGGAGUUCAAGGAAUCAAAAUGAAAUGCAAGAAACUGCAAACAUAUUGGGCUAUCAAAUCAUGGUGGACAAUGAACAAAAGGAUCCAUCAAGUCUUUGGCAGCAUCAGUUUCCAAAUGAUUUACAUAAAAUAAAAGUGCUAAACUCUAUACAAUGUAAUGAAAUAAAUUAUCAAAUCCUCUGAUACUUGAAUAAUUUAACUGAUGUUAGAAUCUCCUUUUCAGAUAAUUAUUUUCAUGGAAAAAAAUAUACAAUACUUCUGUCUCAUCAUUUGCAGAAUAUCAAUUAUCCUUUUUUCAGAACUUAUUAGCACCAAAGGGCUCACAGUGGCAUAGGCCCUGGUCACAAGCCUCUGGACACCCAG